CAGGGUCCCAGAGCUGUCAACUGCGUCGCCACCCUCAGUGUGGCUUCUGUGAGUGAUUGUCCCUGCUGGCAUCGUGGGGUGGGGGAGCCACAAAGGCUCCCAGGAGCUCAGGUGUGUCUGAAACCAGCACUUACGCCACACUUACCGUAAAGGACCCUGGGAAUGUAAUGCAGCCAGGGCCCCAUGAGAAGGGGCAGCAGCUCUUGGCGGAAAGCUAGGUGUCUAUCCGUCUGCCCUCUGGCCUUCAGAUACUCAGAAGCACCCACGCUUCUUACACCAUGUGAAAAGGGUCUCAGAGGGAGAAAACCCAGCCCAAAGCCUGGCACUGCUAGGAUAUGUGAAGCCUCUCAUGGGGUCCAGAUGCCUGUCCCCUGGUCCAAAGGACAGCCCACGAUGUGUUCAAUGAUCUGCUCCCCUCCUCUGCAAGCGGAUCCUUACUCUGAGCUCUGCCACAGGCUGAGCCCUCUUAUUUGGCUGGGCUGUCAUUGUCUCUUUCUGUUUGAGGUAUAAACAGUGGCUCUUCCCACCUGGGUGCACACCUCUGGGGUACCUGUGACUGCAAAC
rnacentral:lncRNA from 1 species